rnacentral:lncRNA from 1 species
CAAAAUAUGUAAAUAGGAUAUUUUGUAGAGGUAUAUAAUAUAUAUAUAUUUGGGAAAAUUGGAAAAAGUAAAAAGGUGAAUAUAGUUUGGAUAUUUAAUUUGGUGCAUUUAUUAUUAAAGGAAGAGAGAAGGAAUUAUUUAUUUGGAGCUUUCAUCUUAUUCCUCAAGAGGACCACUCCUCCUUCGAAUUUCUUUCCGGUCGCUCGUCUCCAUCACCCGACGCCUCCCUACGCCGUAUUUGCUCGCCGCCGCCACUCUCCGAUUGAUUUUGGGUGAGUUUCCGGUGGUUUUGGUGUUUUGGUUACGAGUUAAUUUAAUGCCCCUUAAAAUUGGUUCAAGGAAUUUAUAAUGGGAAGCCAUUUUUUGUCCGUUGAUCGAACUACGAUGAUUAUGUAAAUUUAAUAAAUGUUUAGUCAUAUCUUUUUUUCUUUUUUUUUUUAUAUAUUCACUACAUACAUGUUUAAUCUUUUAGGUAAAUUUAAAAGCAACACGACGAAUGACAAAAAGAACUUAUCAUUAAAACUAAAUAUGACAAGUGCUUUGGUUGGCUAAAAUUUUUGAAUGCUAUGAACCUUUUAUCAAAUGGUAAUUGAAUUUAUUUAAAGCUUAUUUUCUUUAAUGAUUCUGUGAGAAAACCCAGACUAAAUUGUUUUUAAUUCUUUUAACAUUUAUGAUCUAAACUUUUAAGUUUAAGUUUAAGUUGAAAAGUUGAUUGGAUGGUAUGAAGUGAUUUUUAAGAUGUAAAACAAAUUCAGAAACAGGUUGUUUUUACAUGCAUCUACUCCAUGGUGCACAUUGGUUGGUAUCGGUUCAUGGGAGAAAGCCAAUCAUAAAAAUGGUGUGGAAUCUGAUCAUGGUGGGUCGAUCUUCUGAUCUCUUUUUUCUUUUUAUAAUCAAACCUAAGUUGAAUGAAAAGGAAAUAUGAAUAUAUGAGUGUUACUGUUACGUGUUUUUUUAGUACAAAUUGGGAGUCAAACAGUGAUGGAUUUAGAAUAUUUAUUAUGUACAUAAUUCGGUCAAAAUUACCUUCGUACAUUACAAUUGUCACAUUAUAAUUGUCCUCCACAGAUUUUCAAUCUAACAAGUUUACCUAAGAUCCAUAAUUUAUUUUUUGAAAUAUGAAAACCAAGAAUGAUUUGUAAUAUGAAAAUCAAAGACAUGAAAAUAAAAUAACAAACAUGAAAAGGGAAGAAAAUAAAUUACAAAAUCUUAUCUCAUAAAUUAGGAGAUAAAGUUGAAGAAGAAGAUAUAGAGCUAAGUAUUAAAAGUUAAUAAGUAUAUAUAUAUAUAUAUAUAUAUAUAUAUAUAUAUAUAUAUAUAUAUAUAUAUAUAUUAUAUUAAGACGAUAAAGUUGAGAAGGACUCGAACAUCUGAGUCUAUACUAAAUUUGUCAGUGAAGUCACUAAACCCGAUACUUCUAGAUCCUUAAAUACAUACAUGUGCUAGUUGAACUAUUAUUUGUUGUUACUCUUGUUAACAUAAUUUGCAACGUUUUAAAAUUUAGGUUUAUAUAUAUAUAUAUCAAAGAAAUUUAAAUAAAUUAUAGGCUUCCCAUGAUAAUCACAAUGAGCUCUGUUUUAUAUUGAACCUUUUUAAAGAAAAUGUACACACAUAUAUAUAUACACACCCUAUGAUAACCACCUCCACAUAAAACUUUGCAACCCAUUCAUAUUAAGACAUGCAAUGUAAAUUUUCCAUUGAUUUGGAAAAUGCCCCAGCUCUUUUCAAAGUUGAUCUAUCAAAAUUACCUAUGAAGUGGUUAUCCUUAUAAAUUGGAGCUUACAUUAACGUGACAUAUCAGAAUGAUUUAGUGAUUUAGGUCACUGCCACACAAUUUUUUAUCUCGAUUUUCAUUGCUUUUACUUUCUUUCUUUUUUUUUCAUGUACACUCUUGUGCUCUUUCAUAUAAAUCAUCAAUACUUAGACCAUUACAUUGAGACAGAAAUAUACAGCUACAAACUUCGAUUCAAUUACUACACCUUUGUAAUUUUGUAAGAGAAACAAUCAUUCUCAAAACCAAUUCAGACAACAAUUCAACUUUAAAAAAUUUCCUUUUUUUUCUUUUUGUUGCUCCCCUCCUUUUCAAUUCAAUAAAGCUUUCGCAGUGCUCAAAACUCUACAAUUCCCGAUUACAGAAAUUACAUCAUCUGUUGCUAAAUCCAUAUUGUAAAUUUUCUUUCUUUGUUUUUCUUUUUCUUUUUUUUUCCUUCCCCUUUUUCAGUUUUUCCCUUCACAAAUCUAUACUUUUUCCUGCCACUCUCUCUACCGGACUGGCUCUCGGUAUUGCCCCGCCCGACGAGCACAAGCACAGGGUAACAAGAAACUUAAUUGUGCUAACAUUACAAAUCUCACCCAACAUUGUCUCUGUACACAUAUAUUCCAAUCAAUGGGGAGGAAAGGAAUCUAUAGCAGAUGGCAAUAGCAUUUGAAGUUUUGUUUUUCUAACUCCCCUUUCCUUUCCUUUCCUUUCCUUUCCUUCCUUUGCCUUCCCAUUUGGGGACGGUUUUUGAAGAGGGCUUUCCAACUUCAUUUCAUUCCUCCUUAAAUCUUAACUGGAAAUCCAAAAUUUUGGAACGUUCUGAUUUCACCUCGAAGACCUGCAGUAACGAUCACCAUACCCCAUGCUGAUGAUCCUUGAAACAUUCCGCUGGCAAUGUCCAUGCUGGAAUGAGGGCUACGGUUAUUCCGAGUGUUCAGAAUGAGCUUUUCCUCUGGCCAUGUUGCUGAGAUUCUGUCAAAGAAGUAGCUGUUUGUUGCACUUGAAAGAGUUCCAUGAAGAGGGCUGUUGGUGCAACCAGAUGCCAAUACUGAAUCCUCACUGCCAUUUUCGGCCUCCACAGGUGAAGGGGGAUGGUUAGCGGAGGAGACUUCAUCAAUAUGGUUUUCAAUCACAUUGUCAUCUCCACAAUAAUCGUCGUUAAGUCCCCAUGUAUCGCCCAUACCAGGCCAAGGAAUAGCCACAGAGACAUCCUGACAGUGGAAAUGCUCGUAUGAUCGAACGACUGUCACACCUUUACUCCUACUAGGUCGAGAAUCUGCUUCAUGCUUCCAUACGUACACAUGAGAAUCCUCACUGGCUGAUAUCACGUACCUGCCAUUCGAGGAAAGGCAGGCAGAGAUUUGGCUGUUUGUAUUUCGGAACCCUGUUACCAACUCAAAACUCUUAAACAGUAAACAUAACAAACCACUGACAUAAGAAUUAUCAUUCUUGGAUCUAAGCCUGGGACAAGCUGGGGAUAUAAUCAAUAAAAUCCCAAGUCACUACCAUGUUUAAAGUACCACACAUUAAAACGCCUCAUAUGCAGUAUACCAAAAAAUCCAAUACCACCAAUUCAUUAAUAUGAGGAAUGAACUGUAUAGGUCAAUUCAACUGGUUUUCCCCACUGUUUGGACUACAUAUUCUAUGAACUGAUGCCCAGUGAAGUGAGUUUUACUGCUUCGGUCAAAAACCCAAAAGCAAGAUUAAAGACAGAGGAAUCGAACUCAUAUAUGGCCAGAAAAUAAUGUUUGCUGAGAAACAAAAAUUUGUUUGGAAUGAACAUCUCUAGAACUUCAUUUAAGAGUGGGAUAUGAACUAGGAUGACCAACUUGGGGAGCCAUGAACCAGAGCCGAUUUUUAUGCAGUAAUGCAAAAUCUGGUGCGACUAUAGGACCAAAAGCAAGGACUAAAGGCAAAGAAAAAAACUCAUAUGUUCACAACAGAAUAGAUAGAGGAAGAUCAAUGUGCAGUAAGGAAAAAAAUUGUUGGCUAUGAUCCUAUCGAUAGUUCUAAUCACUGGGUUGAAAUGAUGAUGACUAAGAUUGAGAAGCCAUGAGCCAAAAUUGUGCAGAGUCAAUUGAGGUGUGAAAAUGAAACUGUAAACAACUUCUUGAAGUGUAGGCGAAGAGGCAUCAACCCCAUAUUUUAGGAGCUUACCACAAAGCAAGUCCAAUUGGCUGAACCAUUAGUCAUGGUUUUUAACUCAUAUGCUAGGAAGCCGAAAAAGUAACCUUAAAAUAUCAUCUUAAUGGAACUUCAAUCAUACCUUUAAAUCUCUGGACCAGAUCAACACCAUCAACCACUCGGAUGCGUGAAUCUGCAGAUGUAAUGAGCACUUCUGAAGAACUUCCUGGAGCAAACUGUUAAUUGGAAACGAUCAGCAACUGGAAGGAAGUUCAGUAUUCCACGCGCUAUGGUUGAGUCGUCUAGGGGUAUGGUAGUAACAAUGGCUUUCUAUUCCCUUGUACUAAGCAAAAUAUAGAAGAAAUAACUCAAUCAAAUAAACCCAUGAAAUUACCUGGAACCCAGUUAUUUUCUUGUGACUAGAUUUUUUCUUCUUGUUUUGCAGAUUUAUCUCACUUUUUUGCUGCAUCUUGUUCUCUGGGAAAAAAUUGAACAUAUUAUCAUCCAGUCUCAAAUGCACAAAAUAACUGUCAGUCAAUUGGGACUUAGGAAAGGAAGGAAUGAUUGGUUUGACAGAGAGUAAAAUAUACC